rnacentral:rRNA from 1 species
CCUGUUUAUCAAAAACAUAGCCUUAGGAAAUUGAUUUAAGGUUUGGUCUGCCCAAUGUGUUAAAUCUAUUAAUGGCCGCGGUACUUUGACCGUGCUAAGGUAGCGCAAUCAAUUGGCUUUUAAUUGGAGUCAGGUAUGAAUGGAGUCACGGAGUUUAACUGUCUUUUAAACUAAUUUAUUGAAAUUACUGUAUAGGUGAAAAAGCCUAUAAAAAGAAAAAAGACGAGAAGACCCUUAGAGUUUUGCUUAUAACAAGAUUAAUAUCCUUGUAACAGUUUUGUUGGGGCAACAUAGGAACAAAUUAAUAACUUCCUAAAAAUAACUAACCGAUAUUUAUAAAAAUGUAUAAACUACCUUAGGGAUAACAGCAUAAUUUUAUAUAUAAGUUUGUGACCUCGAUGUUGGACUAGGAAACUUAAAGGCUAGCCGCCUUUAAGGAAGGUUCUGUUCGAACUACCAUUCCUACGUGAUCUGAAUUCAGA